GAGCGGGCGUAGCAAUACGUCAGCGGCAGACGGGUGAGUAGCGCGUGGGAACGUACCUUUUGGUUCGGAACAACACAGGGAAACUUGUGCUAAUACCGGAUAAGCCCUUACGGGGAAAGAUUUAUCGCCGAAAGAUCGGCCCGCGUCUGAUUAGCUAGUUGGUGAGGUAACGGCUCACCAAGGCGACGAUCAGUAGCUGGUCUGAGAGGAUGAUCAGCCACAUUGGGACUGAGACACGGCCCAAACUCCUACGGGAGGCAGCAGUGGGGAAUAUUGGACAAUGGGCGCAAGCCUGAUCCAGCCAUGCCGCGUGAGUGAUGAAGGCCCUAGGGUUGUAAAGCUCUUUUGUGCGGGAGGAUAAUGACGGUACCGCAAGAAUAAGCCCCGGCUAACUUCGUG
rnacentral:rRNA from 1 species